AAAAAUAUAUUCAUUUCGGUGAAAUCUAAGUGUUGAGUUUGCUCUUCACAAGACUAGAUUUCAUACCUCAAGA
rnacentral:sRNA from 1 species